CCAGCUAAGGUCCCAAAAUAAUUGUUAAGUGGAAAAGGAUGUGGGGGUUGCACAGACAACUAGGAUGUUAGCUUAGAAGCAGCUAUUCAUUCAAAGAGUGCGUAAUAGCUCACUAGUCGAGUGACCCUGCGCCGAAAAUGUACCGGGGCUAAAACAAUUUACCGAAGCUGUGGAUACCUUUAUAGGUAUGGUAGGAGAGCGUUCUAUGUGUGAUGAAGGUGUUACCGUGAGGAGUGCUGGAACGCAUAGAAGUGAGAAUGCCGGUAUGAGUAGCGAAAGACAGGUGAGAAUCCUGUCCACCGUAAGACUAAGGUUUCCAGGGGAAGGCUCGUCCGCCCUGGGUUAGUCGGGACCUAAGGAGAGACCGAAAGGUGUAUCCGAUGGACAAACAGGUUGAUAUUCCUGUACUAGAGUAUGUAGUGAUGGAGGGACGCAGUAGGCUAACUAAAGCAGACGAUUGGAAGAGUCUGUCUAAGCAGUGAGGUGUGAAUUGAGUCAAAUGCUUAAUUCUAUAACAUUGAGCUGUGAUGGGGAGCGAAGUUUAGUAGCGAAGUUAGUGACGUCACACUGCCAAGAAAAGCUUCUAGCGUUUAAACAUACUCUACCCGUACCGCAAACCGACACAGGUAGUCGAGGCGAGUAGCCUCAGGUGAGCGAGAGAACUCUCGUUAAGGAACUCGGCAAAAUGGACCCGUAACUUCGGGAGAAGGGGUGCUGACUUUAAGUCAGCCGCAGUGAAUAGGCCCAAGCAACUGUUUAUCAAAAACACAGCUCUCUGCUAAAUCGUAAGAUGAUGUAUAGGGGGUGACGCCUGCCCGGUGCUGGAAGGUUAAGAGGAGUGCUUAGCGUAAGCGAAGGUAUGAAUUGAAGCCCCAGUAAACGGCGGCCGUAACUAUAACGGUCCUAAGGUAGCGAAAUUCCUUGUCGGGUAAGUUCCGACCCGCACGAAAGGCGUAAUGAUUUGGGCACUGUCUCAACGAGAGACUCGGUGAAAUUUUAGUACCUGUGAAGAUGCAGGUUACCCGCGCGACAGGACGGAAAGACCCCAUGGAGCUUUACUGCAGUUUGAUAUUGAGUGGUCUGUACCACAUGUACAGGAUAGGUAGGAGUCUAAGAGAUCGGGACACCAGUUUCGAAGGAGACGCUGUUGGGAUACUACCCUUGUGUUAUGGCCACUCUAACCAGAUAGGUGAUCCCUAUCGGAGACAGUGUCUGACGGGCAGUUUGACUGGGGCGGUCGCCUCCUAAAAAGGUAACGGAGGCGCCCAAAGGUUCCCUCAGAAUGGUUGGAAAUCAUUCGCAGAGUGUAAAGGUAUAAGGGAGCUUGACUGCGAGAAGCUACAACUCGAGCAGGGACGAAAAGUCGGGCUUAGUGAUCGGUGGUUCCGUAUGGAAGGGCCAUCGCUCAACGGAUAAAAGCUACCCUGGGAUAUACAGGCUUAUCUCCCCCAGAGUUCACAUCGACGGGGAGGUUUGGCACCUCAGAUGUCGGCUCGUCGCAUCCUGGGGCUGUAGUCGGUCCCAAGGGGUUGGGCUGUUCGCCCAUUAAAGCGGCACGCGAGCUGGGUUCAGAACGUCGUGAGACAGUUCGGUCCCUAUCCGUCGCGGGCGUAGGAAAUUUGAGAGGAUCUGCUCCUAGUACGAGAGGACCAGAGUGGACUUACCGCUGGUGUACCAGUUGUCUUGCCAAAGGCAUCGCUGGGUAGCUAUGUAGGGAAGGGAUAAACGCUGAAAGCAUCUAAGUGUGAAACCCACCUCAAGAUGAGAUUUCCCAUGAUUAUAUAUCAGUAAGAGCCCUGAGGGAUGAUCAGGUAGAUAGGUUAGAAGUGGAAGUGUGGCGACACAUGUAGCGGACUAAUACUAAUAGCUCGAGGACUUAUCCAAA
rnacentral:rRNA from 1 species